AUUGAACGCUGGCGGCAGGCCUAACACAUGCAAGUCGAGCGAGCGGCGGACGGGUGAGUAAUGUCUGGGAAACUGCCUUAUGGAGGGGGAUAACUACUGGAAACCGUAGCUUAUACCGCAUACCAUCAGAUGUUCCCAGAUGGGAUUAGCUAGUUGGUGGGGUAACGGCUCACCUAGGCUACGAUGCCUAGCUGGUCUGAGAGGCUGACCAGCCACACUGGAACUGAGACACGGUCCAGACUCCUACGGGAGGCAGCAGUGGGGAAUAUUGCACAAUGGGCGAAAGCCUGAUGCAGCCAUGCCGCGUGUGUGAAGAAGGCCUUCGGGUUGUAAAGCACUUUCAGCGGGGAGGCGUUACCCGCAGAAAAAGCACCGGCUAACUCCGUGCCAGCAGCCGCGGUAAUUC
rnacentral:rRNA from 1 species